rnacentral:rRNA from 1 species
UGGGGAAUAUUGGACAAUGGGCGAAAGCCUGAUCCAGCCAUGCCGCGUGUGUGAAGAAGGUCUUCGGAUUGUAAAGCACUUUAAGUUGGGAGGAAGGGCAGUAAGCGAAUACCUUGCUGUUUUGACGUUACCGACAGAAUAAGCACCGGCUAACUCUGUGCCAGCAGCCGCGGUAGUACAGAGGGUGCAAGCGUUAAUCGGAAUUACUGGGCGUAAAGCGCGCGUAGGUGGUUCGUUAAGUUGAAUGUGAAAGCCCCGGGCUCAACCUGGGAACUGCAUCCAAAACUGGCGAGCUAGAGUAGGGCAGAGGGUGGUGGAAUUUCCUGUGUAGCGGUGAAAUGCGUAGAUAUAGGAAGGAACACCAGUGGCGAAGGCGACCACCUGGGCUCAUACUGACACUGAGGUGCGAAAGCGUGGGGAGCAAACAGG